AUUGAACGCUGGCGGCAGGCUUAACACAUGCAAGUCGAACGGUAGCAGGAGAAAGCUUGCUUUCUUGAUGACGAGUGGCGGACGGGUGAGUAAUGCUUGGGAAUCUGGCUUAUGGAGGGGGAUAACUACGGGAAACUGUAGCUAAUACCGCGUAAUAUCUUCGGAUUAAAGAAUGGGACUUUUAGCCAUUCGCCAUAAGAUGAGCCCAAGUGGGAUUAGGUAGUUGGUGGGGUAAAGGCCUACCAAGCCGACGAUCUCUAGCUGGUCUGAGAGGAUGACCAGCCACACUGGAACUGAGACACGGUCCAGACUCCUACGGGAGGCAGCAGUGGGGAAUAUUGCGCAAUGGGGGCAACCCUGACGCAGCCAUGCCGCGUGAAUGAAGAAGGCCUUCGGGUUGUAAAGUUCUUUCGGUGGUGAGGAAGGCUAAUAUGUUAAUAGCAUAUUAGAUUGACGUUAGCCACAGAAGAAGCACCGGCUAACUCCGUG
rnacentral:rRNA from 1 species